AUGGGUGAGUCGAUCCUAAGG
rnacentral:misc_RNA from 1 species